rnacentral:lncRNA from 1 species
CAAAAUUUCCUUUUCUUGCCCCAAAACGCGAAAUUUUCUUCGCUUAUUAUUUUAUUCGUCAGAACGUGAGAAGUUGUAACAUAGGUAAAUCAUUUCAUCUGAUGAGUCAACAAUCAACGUUAAGCUAGCUUCGAAAAUUACCAAUGAUUCAUAGUCAGUAAACGUGAAAGUCAUGCAACCUACCGUCAGCUAUUUUGUUCAAACUCAUUGUAUUCUGCUGAAUGUGUCAUCGAAAUGAUACAGGAUUAAUCUCAAUUAUCGGCUGUUUCUAUUGAACUUGCUAGAUCACCGACCCCAGCAUGGAACAAUCUCUCAUUCCAUCUUAUAAAGAAUCUUGGAUAACUGAUUUGUGGUUUCAUGUGUUUCUAAAUUGGCAUGACUGACUAUACGAGAAGUUAUGUCCUUCCAAGAAAAGUACUUACAGUCAACAAGAUUCCUUGUUUGCUAACCCGUUGGCUGCUACCCAUGAAUCUCCCUAUUUUUCAACAACAAAAAAAGAGGUUAAAUAUUGUGAUCAUGCUAUCAUCAUUAUGUUGCCUAUAAGACCAAAUGUGGGGUAUAUGGUUAUCCCUCCAAAAUAAGGCAAUGACCACACGUUCAACGCGGAUCAUUCGCUUUGUCAUCGAACUUGACUCAUUCUAUCUUCUGGAUUGCUUAGGAAAGCUGAUUGGUGUUACCUGUGUAACUUCAUUGUCAUGUCACUGAAUUUAAAUUUUGUUUACAUUUUGUUUCUUGAUUUAGCCAUUUAGGUAAUGACCGAGAAGAUGCGGCCUACAUGAACAUCAUUUAGGCGGCCAGCAUCAUUCGACUACCCAACCGGCUACUACUACCCUGCUCUCAACACAGCACGGAGUUUUACCCUUAGAUUUUUGGUUGUUCGCGAUGUGUGAUGCGGUGUGAUGCGGUGUGAUGGCGUUUCCUUGGAUGAGAUGAUGAUUUUGGCGAGAAAAAUAUUGCGGUAAUCCUUUGCUACUGAUCAUGGACUCCAUUGGUGAAACUGAAAACCGACGAGAUAAUGCUGUAAUCCAAGACUGAUAAAUUGUGUAGUUAGAUUAAAUUACAAGUGCAUUUCUGGGCUCCCUUCUUUUCUGUGGCCCCAUUUCCCUAACUAACCACUAACCAACGCCCGCCGGUGGUCACU